AAAGAACAUUAAGAGAAGUUUGGUGAAAACUAAGCUCAGCAACCUGGGAAAGGCACCCAAGGUGCUUCCAGUAUUUACUGGGAUGAGGCCCGAUAGAAUUGGGCAACAAAGUGUCUGAGU
rnacentral:ncRNA from 10 species